UGCUACCGGGCGACCGGAUGCGGAUCUCGAAAGCCUGUCCCAGUUCGGACUGGAGUCUGCAACCCGACUCCACGAAGUUGGAUUCGCUAGUAAUCGCGCAUCAGCCAUGGCGCGGUGAAUACGUUCCCGGGCCUUGUACACACCGCCCGUCAAGCCAUGGAAGCCGGGAGUGCCUGAAGUGUGCAACCGCAAGGAGCGCCCUAAGGUAAAACUGGUGACUGGGGCUAAGUCGUAACAAGGUAGC
rnacentral:rRNA from 1 species